rnacentral:lncRNA from 1 species
AUAUAUUGGUAUAGAUAUACGGCAGUAUUUUUAACAAAAUUAUUUAAAUUGUCGAUCAUUCUAUUUUCGUUGUUGAUAAUAAGGAUCGUUCUAUAUAUAUUUCUUCUGAUCCAUGUAUAUUUUACAUAGAAGUGCCAGCAACACACAAUUCAACAUAUUUUUUUAUUGAUUAAAGUUCAAGUGAGUUUCACUAAAUCUUGUUA